CUGUAUAUAUUGCCACUGGGAAUCUAAGGACCAGCAACUCUGAUACAGGGAUGAACACAGAGUCUAGAUGAGUCAAUCUUAGAACUGCAAACUUACCAUUCAGCUGUGAACAUAAAGACAGGCUUAGAACAGAAAGCCCCAAAUCCAGACAGGUGGAAGAAUUCAGACCCAGGUGUUUUUAAGCCAUUCCAUCUGAAGAUCAGCGCUUUGAUAACAUCAGGAUUCUGAGUGUGAGACUGUCUCAUAUCCUCUCCUCUGCCUGAAGAUCAGAAGGGUGAAUGCUUCUGUUAGAUCUGCUCACCAACCCAUUCCCAUGGCAUCAGCUCAACUUACAGAGCUUGAACACUGGCUGAUGCCCUGCCCUGAAGAGGAACAGCAGCAGCAGCAGCAUGGAGCACCCUCGCAGAGUGAAUGGCUACUUCCAUAGCUGCCCACCAAACUUUCCUGACCCAGUCGGACACAGAAGCGUUUAUGGAGCUGUAGAAGAUGCCUUUGUAGCUUGCUGGCCUGAAGAAAACAGCAGUAGCAUAAUGAGCCCUACUCAGUUCAUCCCAUUCUAGUUUUCCUUCCCAGCACACACAACCAGAUAAAGAGCAGGGAUGCUAGUUAGAGAUAGCAAGUGAAUGCUUCUAUAAGUAUCAGGCAUAUAAUGUUCUUUAAUGUCUCCCAGUCAACUGGUAAACUGCUUGUGUCUGCAAAAAAU